rnacentral:rRNA from 1 species
UACGUAGGGUGCGAGCGUUGUCCGGAUUUAUUGGGCGUAAAGAGCUCGUAGGCGGCUUGUCGCGUCAACUGUGAAAACCCGUGGCUCAACCAUGUGGUCUGCAGUCGAUACGGGCAGGCUAGAAUUCGGUAGGGGAGACUGGAAUUCCUGGUGUAGCGGUGAAAUGCGCAGAUAUCAGGAGGAACACCGAUGGCGAAGGCAGGUCUCUGGGCAUUAACUGACGCUGAGGAGCGAAAGCAUGGGGAGCGAACAGG